rnacentral:rRNA from 1 species
CGUAGGUGAACCUGCGGAAGGAUCAUUAUCGAGUUUUGACUGGGUUGUAGCUGGCCUUCCGAGGCAUGUGCACGCCCUGCUCAUCCACUCUACACCUGUGCACUUACUGUGGGCUUCAGAUCGUAAAACGGGUCCCUUUACCGGGCUUGCGGAGCGUGUCUGUGCCUGCGUUUAUCACAAACUCUAUAAAGUAUCAGAAUGUGUAUUGCGAUGUAACGCAUCUAUAUACAACUUUCAGCAACGGAUCUCUUGGCUCUCGCAUCGAUGAAGAACGCAGCGAAAUGCGAUAAGUAAUGUGAAUUGCAGAAUUCAGUGAAUCAUCGAAUCUUUGAACGCACCUUGCGCUCCUUGGUAUUCCGAGGAGCAUGCCUGUUUGAGUGUCAUGAAAUCUUCAACCUGCAAGCUUUUGUGGUUUGUAGGCUUGGACUUGGAGGCUUGUCGGCCGUUGUUGGUCGGCUCCUCUUAAAUGCAUUAGCUUGGUUCCUUGCGGAUCGGCUCUCAGUGUGAUAAUGUCUACGCUGCGACCGUGAAGCGUUUGGCGAGCUUCUAACCGUCUCAGUUGGAGACAACUUUAUGACCUCUGACCUCAAAUCAGGUAGGACUACCCGCUGAACUUAAGCAUAUCAAUAAGCGGAGAAAAGAAUCUA